rnacentral:tRNA from 7 species
GGGGAUGUAGCUCAGCUGGAAGAGCACCUGCUUUGCAAGCAGGGGGUCGUGGGUUCAAGUCCCAUCAUCUCCA